GAGGUCAAGCAAAUCCCAUAAAGUUGUUCUCAGUUCGGAUUGUAGUCUGCAACUCGACUACAUGAAGCUGGAAUCGCUAGUAAUCGUAGAUCAGCAUGCUACGGUGAAUACGUUCCCGGGUCUUGUACACACCGCCCGUCACACCACGAGAGUUUGUAACACCCGAAGCCGGUGGAGUAACCUUUUAGGAGCUAGCCGUCGAAGGUGGGACAAAUGAUUGGGGUGAAGUCGUAACAAGGUAGCCGUAUCGGAAGGUGCGGCUGGAUCUCCUCCUUUCUAAGGA
rnacentral:rRNA from 1 species